rnacentral:tRNA from 1 species
GGGACCGUGGUGUAGGGGCAAGCGUGGUUGCCUCUCAACCAGUCGGCCUCGGUUCGAUCCCAGACGGUCCCG